CACCUACGGGUGGCUGCAGUGGGGAAUUUUGGACAAUGGGGGCAACCCUGAUCCAGCCAUGCCGCGUGUGCGAAGAAGGCCUUCGGGUUGUAAAGCACUUUUGGCAGGAACGAAACGGUUUGCGUUAAUACCGCGAACUAAUGACGGUACCUGCAGAAUAAGCACCGGCUAACUACGUGCCAGCAGCCGCGGUAAUACGUAGGGUGCAAGCGUUAAUCGGAAUUACUGGGCGUAAAGCGUGCGCAGGCGGUUAUAUAAGACCGAUGUGAAAUCCCCGGGCUCAACCUGGGAACUGCAUUGGUGACUGUAUAGCUAGAGUGUGUCAGAGGGGGGUAGAAUUCCACGUGUAGCAGUGAAAUGCGUAGAGAUGUGGAGGAAUACCGAUGGCGAAGGCAGCCCCCUGGGAUAACACUGACGCUCAUGCACGAAAGCGUGGGGAGCAAACAGGAUUAGAUACCCUGGUAGUCCACGCCCUAAACGAUGUCUACUAGUUGUUGGGAGGGUAACCUCUUAGUAACGCAGCUAACGCGUGAAGUAGACCGC
rnacentral:rRNA from 1 species